rnacentral:rRNA from 1 species
UACGAAGGGGGCUAGCGUUGUUCGGAUUCAUUGGGCGUAAAGGGUGCGUAGGCGGCUUUGUAAGUCAGUGGUGAAAUAUGGCAGCUCAACUGUCAAGGUGCCAUUGAUACUGCGGAGCUUGAGUACAGAUGAGGUAGGCGGAAUUGACGGUGUAGCGGUGAAAUGCUUAGAUAUCGUCAAGAACACCUAUAGCGAAGGCAGCUUACUAGGCUGUAACUGACGCUGAGGCACGAAAGUGUGGGGAUCAAACAGG